rnacentral:piRNA from 1 species
UGUUGGACAGCAAAGAGCUGUAUGGGGGA